rnacentral:rRNA from 1 species
AUAAGUAUUCCGCCUGGGGACUACGGCCGCAAGGCUAAAACUCAAAGGAAUUGACGGGGACCCGCACAAGCGGUGGAGCAUGUGGUUUAAUUCGAUGCAACGCGAAGAACCUUACCUGGUCUUGACAUCCUGCGAACUUUCUAGAGAUAGGUUGGUGCCUUCGGGAACGCAGUGACAGGUGCUGCACGGCUGUCGUCAGCUCGUGUUGUGAAAUGUUGGGUUAAGUCCCGCAACGAGCGCAACCCCUAUUGAUAGUUACCAUCAWUAAGUUGGGUACUCUAUUGAGACUGCCGCUGACAAGGCGGAGGAAGGUGGGGACGACRUCAAGUCAUCAUGGCCCUUACGACCAGGGCUACACA